UUUUAGCCCCGAUUGUAGCAAUUGUUUGAGCUCUUUGCAAAUGCAGUGGAUUUGGAAGGCUUGCAAAAGCGAGUGCGGAAAGCGGGAAACAGC
rnacentral:misc_RNA from 1 species